rnacentral:rRNA from 1 species
UACGUAGGGGGCAAGCGUUGUCCGGAUUUAUUGGGCGUAAAGAGCGUGUAGGCGGCCAGGUAGGUCUGCUGUGAAAACUCGAGCUCAACCUCGAGACGCCGGUGGAAACUGCAAAGCUAGAGUCCGGAAGAGGAGAGUGGAAUUCCUGGUGUAGCGGUGAAAUGCGCAGAUAUCAGGAAGAACACCCGUGGCGAAGGCGGCUCUCUGGGACGGUACUGACGCUGAGACGCGAAAGCGUGGGGAGCGAACAGG